rnacentral:misc_RNA from 1 species
GUAUUAUAAUAUACAUUUAUUCUGCAUAAACUUUUUAUAUGAUGUGUGUAUAAAUUUAUAAAUCUGAACAACAAGAAAAGCCGUACACUACAACGAGAUACAGCAUUCCUCCUCAUCAAGAAAUAUUAUUCCUUGAAAUUUUUUAGUUCAGACUUAUAAAAUAAGUGUGCACAGGAGAGAAUAAAGAGAAAAAUUGGAAAGAGACGUGCACAUACUUCAAAAGAAGUCAGCAACAAUCUCUUAGCCAUUUUUCAAUUCAAUAAUGAUCCUUCCGCAGGUUCACCUACGGAAA